UAGGUAGGUGGUCUCAUUUGUCUGGGGUGAAAGCCUUGGGCUUAACUCAAGAAGUGCCCCAGAAACGGUGAGACUGGAGUCCUGGAGAGGGUCGUGGAAUUCCCGGUGUAGCGGUGAAAUGCGUAGAGAUCGGGAGGAACACCAGAGGCGAAAGCGGCGACCUGGACAGGCACUGACACUCAACUACGAAAGCGUGGGGAGCAAACAGGAUUAGAUACCCUGGUAGUCCACGCUGUAAACGAUGGGUACUAGGUUUGGUGGGUCUUGACCCCUGCCGAACCGGCGCUAACGCACUAAGUACCCCGCCUGGGAAGUACGGUCGCAAGACUAAA
rnacentral:rRNA from 1 species